rnacentral:rRNA from 1 species
UACGGGGGGGGCAAGCGUUGUUCGGAAUUACUGGGCGUAAAGGGUUCGUAGGUGGCUCGCUAAGUCAGACGUGAAAUCCCUCGGCUCAACCGGGGAACUGCGUCUGAGACUGGAGAGCUUGAGUGCAGGAGAGGAACGCGGAAUUCCAGGUGUAGCGGUGAAAUGCGUAGAUAUCUGGAGGAACACCGGUGGCGAAGGCGGCGUUCUGGACUGCAACUGACACUGAGGAACGAAAGCCAGGGGAGCAAACGGG